CAGCAGCCACGGUAAUACGAAGGGUGCAAGCGUUAAUCGGAAUUACUGGGCGUAAAGCGUGCGUAGGCGGUUUGUUAAGUCUGCUGUGAAAUCCCCGGGCUCAACCUGGGAAUGGCAGUGGAUACUGGCAAGCUAGAGUGUGUCAGAGGAUGGUGGAAUUCCCGGUGUAGCGGUGAAAUGCGUAGAGAUCUGGAGGAAUACCGGUGGCGAAGGCGGCCCCCUGGACAAAGACUGACGCUCAGGUGCGAAAGCGUGGGGAGCAAACAGGAUUAGAUACCCCUGUAGUCCCUGUCUCUUAUAC
rnacentral:rRNA from 1 species